ensembl:lncRNA novel transcript
AGAAGACAACAAAAGUCCAUGAAGAACAGGGCACUUCUCAGCAACCCUCAAGGAAGCAAUUGAACUAAAGCUUGAAAACCAUGGGGUCACUGAGAGAAGGAGCCUGAAGAGAGAAAAGGAUGAAGGACCCAAAAAAGACUAACAUUUAACAGAUGGGAUGUGAAACAGAACCAGAGGAUGCGGCUAUAAAACGCCAUCUUGGAAGCGAGACUGGGCUCUCAGCAGACACCAAACCUUCAUCUGGGACUUCCCAGCCUCCAGAACUAGGACAAAGAUCCUGCAAAAUCCUAUUGGUAAGAGAAAGCAUGUUUUAACAUGGCCAGACCUGGAUACUGCUCCAACAAAUUUUUAUUGAGUGUCAACUCUCUACUAGGCACUGUGUUGGAACUAGGGAUAUUAUGUUCCAGAAACCUAUGGAGAAAGCACAUGGAGAUAAUUAGUUCUACUUCCAGAGAGGGUAAACAUAUCACAAAUGUACAGAUAAAGAUGAAACAUCCAAUUGCAGAUAUGAAUGACCUAAUUCAAUGGAUGAGUCUGGAAGAGGACCAAGUUCAUGGGAAAGAUCAAAAAUUCAGUUUUGAAGAUGUUGAUGAGAAGAUGAGACAAAACCAUGUAUAGAUGCGGAUGAGCUAAUUAAAUAUAUGAGUCUGGAGCUGAAAGGAAAUGCCUUGACAAGAGAAGUAAAUUUGAGGACCAUCAGUAUACAGAUGUACUUGAAUCCAUCUAUGUAAAUGCAAUCACCCUGGGAGGAAAUUUAGAGUGAGAACAGGACUGCGUGGAAAGACAUUAAAGAAGUUAAAGAAAGAAGAACUAACAAAGGCAGGAGAGAAGAAGAGGACGGAGAGGUAGGAGAGAAACCAGUAAUGUGCGAUGGCAUAGAAAUUAAGAUGCGUGCUGUGAUGAGAAAUUCCGAAGCACACAUUAGAAGCAAUGACGGUUAUCAGCCUAGCAGAGGCCGAUGGGCUUCCUCGGAUCCUGCCAUGGCACCAAAGGAAUGCGAGAAAAUGAUUGGCUGGGGAGCUCUUCCACAUUGUCAGGAACGCUGGAAAAAGGCUGAAAGAGAAUGAUGAGAAAAAACCUGGAGAAUGGCAAAUGCUUCACUGAAGCAAUCUGCUACAUUCCUCCUUGCAGAGUGGGAUGCCUGGCCUGAGAUGAGAGAAGUAAUAGGACUGAGAGGAAGUGAAAGAAAUAGAACCCAAGGAGAGCAGGACAGAAAGAAAAGAUUUAUAGCAUGGAUUGUAGCCACUCUAAUAUUUGGGCUCCUCCUGAACUUAAUCCAACUUCCACGUUACUGAAAAUUUAUUAUUUCCCUUAUGGAUUUGUAGAAAACAGAUAGCAAAUGAAUAAGGAAAAUGGAAAGAGACCCAAAAAAGAGACAAAAAAUGGAGAGGACUGUGAGUCCAAUUCCUGUUUCUCCUGCUUUUGUCAGACCAAGUAAAACACUUAAAAUCGUCAGUGGAUAUUGGCUGAACCUUGCCAUUUUGAAAGUGGCUAUUCAAACCUUUUAGAGACGGAGCUGGUCAUUGCCUCAGUUAUUGGCCAAGGUAUGACAUGAACUAAUAGCACUUCAGGGACAAUGGCCUUUCAAUGACCAUCAGGCAUCAGUGCUUCUAAAUUGGCCAAUUUUGAGUGUCAGGAGGCCAGAAGACAUACCAUCACAUAAGAAAAACACUUUAAUCCAGUCAUUAUAAAGUAGGAGCAAAACAGAGUGGCUGUGGUGUUUAUAGCUAUAGCUGUAAUCUCAGUCUAGGUCCAUUCAGUCAAGAAGAUUGUUUCCAGUCUACUAGAAAACACUUCCAAUAAGCCUGAAUUACAACCCCAAUAUCAUUUUAGUUUUUUAGAUUAACAUGUGAAAUAAAGAGUUUUUCUUAGUCACAGUUACUUUUACUGCCAAAAACCCAAUGAAUAUCUUUCCCUCUGGAACCAAAUACACUGUUUAAUUUUAAUCUCUUAGCUGACUGACACAGGAACAAAACUGGUUUUGCAUUUUCCCUUUUCAUUUACUUUUCUGCAAUUGAUCACUGGCCUUAAAAAGUUGAGAAGAUAUAUUUCAGUUGCCAUUUUCUGUACUGGUUUUCAUUCAUUAGUUUUCCUUCUCCUCCUUCCUUUACUCUGCAAUCUCCUUCUCUUCUAUCACAUCAGUUAUAUCUCUUGCCACAAGCUCACAUAAUUUCUGUCGUGUGUCUUAGUAAUAUCUAAUUUGUUACGAUGUAUUAUGCAUGCAAAUGUAAUUGCAGAGGAGGAGUUAAGCAGAAUGACAGCUUAAAGAGGCAUAUUUUUUUUGACUCUGUCACUCCCAGAAAACAGCAUAAAGAGAUCUGGGACAACUAGAUGUCGUGAUGAAAACAUUAGAACGCCAGGAUAUCAAAUUAAACAAUAGAACUGUCCCACUGAACCCCCAUCAUCUCUCACAUGCAAUGAGAGCCAGUAACAUAGAAGAAAGCUAUAUGAAGUUGAGACAAUUAUUUGUCCUAAAAUCUGCCUUUAAUUUUAACACUGUGAAAAAUAAAAUGAAAAUUGUGACUUCAGCACAACACUUUUGGGUGAGAAAUGUAUAAUUCUCCUUUGUCACACUAUAUAAUUAGUUGUUUACAGACCACUAGGUUUGUGAAAAUUCAUAUUAGCAAAAAUAGUAACCUGCAAGCUAACUGAAUAAAUUCUAAUGGCACUAAUGACAGUCUUCAAAAUUAAGGGAUUUUACUUUGAUCCUAUACCCAAAGAAGAAAAGUACAAUGUUAUGGGAAGUAACUUACCCUUGUCUUACAAAUCAAGUAUUGUCCAACCCAACAUAUCCAUUAAAAGAUGACAAAGAAAAUUUGUUUCUUAAAAUAUGGUGCUAGAAAAAUAAUCUGGAAAUAAUUUGUUUCAACUGCUACCAGGAAAUCUAAAAUAUGGUCUCAAAUGGAAUUACUUUGCAUAUAAUAGAUUUCAGACAAUAAAUGUUAACCCCAGAAAUAAAUUCAUUUGACUCAGUGUUUACACAGUAAAAAGUGAAGUAGGACCUUCUCUAAAUAGCACUUGAGCUAGAGCUGGUAAACCUUGUAAACCAGUCCUUUCUCCUUUUCAGACACACCAUUAUAUGUGCUCAUUAUUUCUGGAGACCCAGAAAAGUUUGGAAGACACUCACAGAAAGGGAUUUAUAUGUGUGGAGGAAUCUCCUAUACCUCUCUAACCCAAAGAGACUGAAAUUAGGAAACAGGCCUAAUUGAGAACAAAUAUUAGCUACAUAGGCUUGGCCCACUAUCCUGAAAGUUUAUUUCUAUUCAGUCAUAAUUUAGAUACUUAGGGAAAUUCCAAGAGGAAAAAAAAAAAAAACAUGCUCUCUCAACAUAUAGCAGAAGAUGGCAAUGAGAACAGCAGCUUAGGAUGGAUGGGAAAGCAGAAACCCAGGCCCAGAACUGCGGCUUCUCAGAAUUCUGAGAAGCUGAGAUUAAGCCUGGAGACUUUGUUCCUUCCUCUGUUUCUUUCAUUCUUUAAAAAUGUGUUACUAAUUUAUAUUUUCAGACCAGAAGGCAACCUUAUUUUCUUUACCAGUCUUGAAUCCAGACUGGCACAGCACUGUUAUAUUUGGGAAAAUACAAAUGGCUGUGGAAUUCUUGGGGAAGAUGUAGACAAGCCUUGACGUUGUACAAUUCCUUUUCACUAUGCACAUCCCUGCUUAGCCUGGGCAGAGCCUCUGUACAUGAGGACGAACAUGAAUACAAGAUGAACACCAACUGAUGUACUGACCUACAGACAUCUCAACAUUACAGCCGCUGUUAUGUCUGUGAAAGAGUUCACGUGGGCUUCCACUUCUUUACUACAUGAACUCCCAAAUACCCACUUUCAACUAUUUAUUCUUAUCCUCAUUUAUAGAAUAAAGCUGACCCAAAACACCACCACUAAGGGAGAAUGACUUUGCAACUAGUGGCAAGAUUAAAUAAUGUUGGAACUUUGUAGCCCAAGUUAGCACUGAAGAAAAGAUAGUUCAGACAAUAAACGUAUCAGUGCCAUGUGACCCUUGUCAGCAUAUUAAGGAAGUAAUGCAAUAAUAAUAAAUUGCACUGGAUUGGGAUGGACUAUGGUCACAAAUGGAAAUUGUGCCUUCAGCCCAAUACUGUCGGGGGAAAAAUGUAUAAAUCUCCUUUAUCACACUGUAUAAUUAGUUAUUUCAGACCAAAUAAGUAGAAAAAUAAGUAGUCUCUUGAAUGAUUCGACAUCUGAAGUGUCAGACAUCGCUUUGUAUGACAAUAAAACUCUGCCAGCUA